rnacentral:lncRNA from 1 species
CUUUGGCAUGAGGUGAUGAAGGCAUAGCUGAUUUUCUCCAUAUCAAGAUCUCAUUAUAGACUCCUCCAAAAGAGCCAAUAGAUCAUUAUAAAGGAGAUUCCAGUCUCUCUAAAGAAAAAAUGAAAGGCAAAUCCAACCAGCCCAAGCAUCUUGGAGCUGCCUAAUGACUCCUUAUCUCCUCUACACUAAAGUCCUCUACAAGUAUACUAUGAUCAUAUGAGUC